rnacentral:tRNA from 1 species
GCCAGUGUGGUGUAGGGGUUUGAUCAUUGGACUAGGACACUAAGAGACCAGGGUUCAAAUCCCAGCUCGGCCA